rnacentral:rRNA from 1 species
CUACGGGUUGCUGCAGUGGGGAAUCUUAGACAAUGGGGGAAACCCUGAUCUAGCCAUGCCGCGUGAGCGACGACGGCCCUAGGGUUGUAAAGCUCUUUCAGCAGGGAAGAUAAUGACGGUACCUGCGGAAGAAGUCCCGGCUAACUCCGUGCCAGCAGCCGCGGUAAUACGGAGGGGACUAGCGUUGUUCGGAAUUACUGGGCGUAAAGCGCGCGUAGGCGGAUUGUUAAGUCGGGGGUGAAAUCCCGGGGCUCAACCCCGGAACUGCCCUCGAUACUGGCAGUCUUGAGUUCGAGAGAGGUGAGUGGAAUUCCGAGUGUAGAGGUGAAAUUCGUAGAUAUUCGGAGGAACACCAGUGGCGAAGGCGGCUCACUGGCUCGAUACUGACGCUGAGGUGCGAAAGCGUGGGGAGCAAACAGGAUUAGAUACCCUUGUAGUC